UACAUGUGGGGCAAGCGUUGUUCGGAAUUACUGGGCAUAAAGGGUGCGUAGGCGGCUUGUUAGGUCAGGGGUGAAAGUUUUCGGCCCAACCGGAAAAUGGCCUCUGAUACUGGCGAGCUCGAGUGCGUGAGGGGUGACUGGAACGAGCAGUGUAGCGGUGAAAUGCGUAGAUAUUGCUCGGAAGGCCAACGGCGAAGGCAGGUCACUGGUACGCAACUGACGCUGAGGCACGAAAGCGUGGGGAGCAAACAGG
rnacentral:rRNA from 1 species